ensembl:lncRNA
GAGCGGUCACCUUCCCGGAGUCGAGUCGCGGCUCCCUGACUCCAGCGGCAGGCGGGAUGUCCUGCUUCCCUCAGGGCCAGCACCGUAUCAUUCACUCGGUACUGCCAGCACCAUUCACCGUGCCAACGACAACAGCUCCCGGGGGCGGGCAGGGCAAGAGGGGGAGGGAAACACAUCCAUCGUAUGUAUUCAUUCACCGGGCAAUUGCUGAUUCCCACCCCACUCACUGGGCUGCCCCCACAUGGGGCCUUAAAUCCGGACAGGCUGAGAACAGAAGCAGGCCUCUGGGGGCCAUGUUUGCUGUGCUGAGUGGACGCUCAGGCGCCAGCCGGACCUGCUCUAGAUGACCUCAGCGCAGAGUCCCCGGUCCUCCUUGGGUCAGUGGUCCUCCCACUGGCUACGUGGCAGGAUCCCCCAAGGGCUGUGACUGACAUCACCACUGACUGAUGUCAGGACGGGCAGGUGGAGCCUGGGUGUCCACCUCCUUCCCACACGCAUGGGGCUUCAGGAGCAGCCACAGCUGAGAGCCGUCCUGCUGGCCAGAGUGCUGGUUCAGCCUUAGAGGAGGCUGGAGGGGGCUUCAUCAUUAGAGCACGUGCCUGGAUGGGGAGAGGAAGGCCUUACACACACAGAGGCUUCCUCUGACUGGCAUGGGGGCUGCGCGGACAUGCAGAUGUCCCUUCAGUAGAGUCAGUGCUGGAAGAGGGAGGGGUGAGUUGGUAGAAGGAAGGAUGGACAGAUGACAGAUGAGUGGAUGGACAGGUGAGUGGACAGAAGAUGGAUGAGUGGAUGGGUAGAUGGAUGGAUGAUUGGAUGGAUGAAGAGAUGAUGGAUAAUGGAUGGAUGGGUUGAUGAAUGGAUGAGUGGAUGGAUGGGAGGAUGGACGGGUGUAUGGGUGAAUUGGUGGAUGGAUGGAUAGAUGAUGGAUGAGUGGAUGGACAAGUGGAUGUGUGGGUGGACUGAUGGAUGGAUGAGUGGGAGGAUGGGUGGACAGGUGGAUGGUUGGGUGAAUGGCUGGCUGGAUGGAUGGAUGAUGGAUGGAUGGAUGGGUGGGUGGAUAGAUGGGUGAAUGGAUAGGCAGAUGGACGGAUGGAUGGAAGAUGGAGGAUAGGAAAUAAAUGAUCAUCACCCUUUGCUAGAAGAUUGUUGAGAAGCGUAAGACAGAAUCCCUUACCUUACAAUACAUUAUAAAACCUUAACUUUUAAGAAUCUGUAAAAUCUAUGGCUUACAGAGGCAGCAGGGGACACCGCGGUCGGUUUGGGGAGUGGGGAGGCCGAUAACCCCCACUGAGCAGGUGUGUGCUGCUGGCCUGGGACCUGGGCCGACCCACAGAAGCCCCCUCCCAUCUCCCUCAUCCUGACCCUGUCCUCACCCUGCCUCCACUGUCCUGAGGAACAGCCCGCACUCACAGAUGCUUGACUGCUGCUCGAGCUUGUGCAGCCAGGAGAUGGAGGGGCUGGACCCGAGCUCAUCCGUGUCUGGGUGCAGGACCAGCGUUCUGAACACAGGGGACAAGGGCCCAGGGCUUGGCAGGCGUGAGGAGGCAGAGAGAAGUUCAAAAUGCGUUGUAGAGCAGCAGAGAGAACUCGCAACAUCAGCAACGCGCUUGGCCCAGGAGCUGCCAGUGCAGGGGUGUGUCAGGAAGUUUGGCGAAGGAGAUGAGAGUCUUGGCAAGGAG